UACGAAGGGAGCUAGCGUUGUUCGGAAUCACUGGGCGUAAAGCGCACGUAGGCGGAUGUGUCAGUCAGGGGUGAAAUCCCGGAGCUCAACUUCGGAACUGCCUUUGAUACAGCACGUCUUGAGUCCGAUAGAGGUGAGUGGAACUGCGAGUGUAGAGGUGAAAUUCGUAGAUAUUCGCAAGAACACCAGUGGCGAAGGCGGCUCACUGGCCCGAUACUGACGCUGAGGCACGAAAGCGUGGGGAGCAAACAGG
rnacentral:rRNA from 1 species